AGAACGAACGCUGGCGGCAUGCCUAACACAUGCAAGUCGAACGAGACCUUCGGGUCUAGUGGCGCACGGGUGCGUAACGCGUGGGAAUCUGCCCUAUGGUUCGGAAUAACAGUUAGAAAUGACUGCUAAUACCGGAUAAUGUCUUCGGACCAAAGAUUUAUCGCCAAAGGAUGAGCCCGCGUAAGAUUAGCUAGUUGGUGGGGUAAAAGCCUACCAAGGCGACGAUCUUUAGCUGGUCUGAGAGGAUGAUCAGCCACACUGGGACUGAGACACGGCCCAGACUCCUACGGGAGGCAGCAGUGGGGAAUAUUGGACAAUGGGCGAAAGCCUGAUCCAGCAAUGCCGCGUGAGUGAUGAAGGCCUUAGGUGUAAAGCUCUUUCACCCGGAUGAUAAUGACAGUACCGGAGAAUAAGCCCCGGCUAACUCCGCGCCAGCCAGCCGC
rnacentral:rRNA from 1 species